CAAAACGAAUGUGAUCGUAGGUAGAAAACGUGUUUUAUUUCACGUUCGGUUUAUCAACUAAAAAAAUAUUGGUUUCGAAAUAUCGGUUUUCACAAUAAUUAUUAUUUAUUGAAUGAAAAUGGAUAGCGUCAUUUCGCAAUAUUUGAAUGAAAAUAGAUUGUUUGGUUCUACGAGUAUAUAAAUACGGGUAAUUGGGUUAUUGAGUUAAUUGUCGUGAUUUUCAUGAAACCAUUUAGUAAAAUGAAUAAACUGGUGCUACUGUUUUUGAUCGUUGGUCUGUGCAAGACCAUAGAUGCUUGCUGUGCCAACAGAUGUGAGUCAGUGGCCGUGGUCAUACCUGUAGCAACCCCGUGUGCAUGUUCCAAUGCCUGUGCGACAUCUAACUCCAUGCCUUGUUCAACACCUAACUGCAUAUCUUCCUCAACAUCUUGUAACAGUUGUGGCAGAUCUGAUUGUACGAAAACUUGUAAAUGUAAAUCUUCAUGUAACUGUGGAUGUAUGGAUCCUGAGUGUCAAUGCCUGAAAGCUUUAACCAAUUUCCCGGAAGUCGAAUACCCGAUGCCUUCCUAUGGAUGCAGUAGAACAUAUUAUUAUUAAUUACGUCAUUGUGAUUCGGUGCUUUAUGGAACAUGCCUCAAUAAAUUGAUGUGAAUACCUA